UGUGUCUGAAGGAAACAUUGAUUGAAAUCCUCAUGGAUAUCGGCGCAGUCACUCAGAUGAAGAAAAGCAUGAACUGUAAACAAAGGGCUGCAAGAAAUGAAUGUGUAGUGCUGCAGAGGGACGUCCAGGAACGCAUUAUUCAUUGGUAGACUAAUAGAAAGAGUGAGCUGGGAUACCAGGAGACUUCACUGACUGAAAUGCUAAAUGGGGAGAGUCCAAAUGAACCCAGAGGAACAAUACCAAAAAAGGACCUAGAUAGACUAGAAAGAACAAAAUACUGAGAUUUAAUGUGGAAAAAACUGUAAGUAAACCUGUCUGGGGAAAACUAAUCCAAAACACAGAUGUUCCACUGGAGACAGAAAUCUUGAAAGCAGUUGUGUUACAGCAGACCAGGAAUGACAAGGGAACUGAUGGUGAAUCCCCGGCACAGCAGGGCACACUGCCUGCUCUGCAAUGCCCCCACAAGGUGCUGUGUGAGCCGCACAGAUAACACACGGUGCAGGCAGCUGGGAGAGGUGCAGCCCAAUUAUGACUGCUGUGGAGGAAAGAACUUAUUCAGCACUCAGUACGGUGUGAGGUCAGAGAUGAGCCCAUAAAGACUGAAACAGAAGCACUGUGUGCUCAAUAGCAUGGCACGCUUAAAACCAAACAAAGAGCCAGAAACCCAGCAGCAGGCCGCCUGCGUUGCAAAGGUCAGGUGUGCCACAAGGCCGUCCUUCGUCGUUCAUUGUCAAAUUUCCUCUCAGAUAUCUACCUCUGACUGACAGACCGAGCUCCACGCAACGGCAACAGCUGAAAAGGAUCUGACAGUAACUUCCUCAAGAAUGCGUUGUCUUAAGAAGAAGCCAUUAGAUGAAAGUGGAAACCAGAGGAUUACGGAGUCAAAUCAUGAGAAUUCAGGUCAAGUGAGAUUUGAGGGGGAAGGAGAAUCUGACAGCAGCACCAGGGGGAAGACUAAACGUGUCAGUCUAAGACUCUUACUGGAAGUGCUGGAGAACUAAGCAGUCAAAAAGGAAACCUAGAAUGGCAUCCAUAAAUGGCAAUCUCCAAAGAGUCAGCCUUGAGCCUGCCACAAUCACUUCCUUUGUUGGACAGAAAUGACCACAUCCUGGGCCUCAGAAUUAGCUACAGACUUAAAUGUUCAGAAACUAAAAAAUGC